CCCGACUCCUACUACUGCGCGUUAUAAAUUCAGUCCUCCGUCUGCUUCGGUCUUCCUUCCCAUAUGGAUGACUCCGUCUCCCUCUCUAGCUUAACACAAGAAUAUUGCAAGAACAGUGCUUUCUCUCUCUUUCUCAAGCUGAAUUGCAAGGACAUUUCAAGCCUUUCUCGGGGCUGUUGUUGAUUGCAUUGUUUGUUCGUAGAGAGUGAAAUCAAGAAAAAGAAUCUCCUAUGUCUACUUUGGCAAACUCUUCUAAUAUAUUUUGGCACGAAUGCCCAGUUGGGAAGACUGAGAGGCAUAAACUACUUAACCAAAAGGGAUGUGUUGUGUGGAUAACGGGGCUUAGUGGAUCAGGUUUGUUUUGAACACAUUUCUUAUUGCUUUCUGAUACAUUUUAAUUAUCAGGCAGUCAGAAUUAGACUGUUUCAGCAAUUCAAAACUCUUUCUACUUUUCAUUUUAAAAAAUUUUUAAAGGUCAAUCAGAAAGCUGAUUUUUUUUAAUUUAUGCCUAGAUUCUGUGCAUUAAUCUGGGUCUUACAAUUUGCAAAUAUAACCUUUGGUCAUGGAACCAUUAAUGUAAUUGUUCGUAAUCGCAAAUUUUAUAUGGGCUUAGUGGCUUACUGGUGUUGCUUGUCUUGCUUCAUAAGUAAAGGCUAGAAAAACCUAUAGGCUCAUAUUAGUUAUCUGUGGUGAACCCAAAUUCUCCCAAAGUAUAAGAUUUCUAUAGUUCUUAAUGCUUCAAGUCUGUAAAAGGGAGUUGAACCUUGUGGAUUGCUAAAUUGGAUGCACCUGUGUCCUGUGCUUGCUCCUGCUUUUUUAGAAUAUAGAUGUCUUGAGUAAAAGGUAAGUGUCUGAAUCUUCAGCCUCUGUUGUGUCUUAUAGGCUGGAAGUAGAAGUUAAAGAUAUUUGUAUAUUGGACCAGCCAAAAGUGUCAGGGUGAAUGAGGAGAAAUGCUUAGCAUCUUAGGCACCAUACACAAUGUCGAGCUGUUGAAUUCCUUCCUUGACCCACCAUAAAGUUAAGUUGUGGAGUGGUACACUAACUAAAACCAUCUCUCACACGCUAUGUAUUAUUUAUGUUCUUGUAAUUGACAAAUAAUUGCAUAAUAUAGUGGCAUUUUGCUCAAAUAAAUUGCUUUUGUGAAUUAAUCAUCAAUUUUUGUAAUCCACAUGAAUAUUAAGAAGUUGCAGAGUCUAUUGUGCUCCUUUGUCAACUUUUUCAGGGAAAAGCACACUGGCAUGCUCUCUAAGCAGAGAACUGCACUCUAGGGGGAAGCUGUCUUAUGUUCUUGAUGGAGAUAACUUACGCCAUGGACUGAACAAAGGCCUGGGUUUCAGUGCCGAAGAUCGAACUGAAAAUAUCCGCAGAGUUGGUGAAGUGGCAAAACUCUUUGCAGAUGCUGGUUUGAUAUGCAUUGCUAGUCUAAUAUCACCAUACGGAAAAGACCGGGAUGCUUGCCGUGCAAUGUUGGCAGAUGCAAAUUUCAUCGAGGCAAGGUUCCACAAUAAUGUCUCUUAUUAGGACCGAGCAAAUUUUCUUGAAGAUGGAAUGUCAGGUUACUUGUAUCUUUACAGGUUUUCAUGAACAUGUCUCUGUCAUUGUGUGAGUCAAGAGAUGCUAAAGGCCUCUACAAGCUUGCACGUGCUGGAAAGAUUAAAGGUUAGCUCUUGAGGCACAUAUUCAAUGUUGCUUUGAUAUUUUGACAUGGGGUUCCUGCUUGUCUAUGCACACCCUCCCCUAUAUAAGGCACAUACACAAAAUUAAGGAUGCAAAAACACAAGGAUAGCAUGUAAGCUGUAACAACUGCAUUGUUACUGCACGUUUCACCCAAAGGAAAUUAGAAAGGUGAAAAAUUAAGUUAAAACAAAGAACUGCAAAUUCUCUUGUAAAAUAAUGAUGACUCCAUUUCUCAUUUUAAGUGUCAGAUGCUCCGAAUUAUGAGCAGAAGGACUUUGUGAAUAGAAGAGGGGUUGUGUAAAAGAGUGAACAAUUAUAUGCCAUUUUAUUUGGGAUUUUUAAAAGCACAGGCUAAAUGCUUCCCACCCUAUACACCCCAUAAGACCUUGAGAAUUUCCAUGCUUAAUUUCUAAUCAAGAACAAGUUUUCAGGAGCAUUGAUUGCUCCAAUAUGUGGAAAAAACAGGAACAAGUUUAUAUGUCUAGAAAAGCAGUACAAAGCAGGAUAAGGGUAGGCUUCUUGGGAUCACCUAGUGAGAACAAUAUAUGAUUAUAUAAAAUGUGAAUCACUUUUAGGAUGUAAUGAAGUAUAUGGUAAAUACCAUGUAGUUGAAUGAAAUAAGAGUAACUACAAGAUUUUCAACUGCUUCAAUGAUUUCAAAAAAAAUCCAAGACCAAAUUUAGAGCAUGAUAAUGAAGAAAUUAUCUGAGAUUUGUAUAAUUGAGAUUGUUUGAUUAUCUACCUAUAAUUUUUGCAUGUUGGAAAGCUAACUUUGAUGUUUCAAAUCUAUAAUGAUCCAUAAUUUGCAUUGAAUAAAGAUUGCAAAUCUCUGGGUGUGGCAAUUUCUGGUGAUACUAGUCAAGAAUUGAAUGGCUAUUAGUAUUUCCUUCCAUUACUGAUGGAAUUUGUUCUAGAUGGUUGCAAAUGUACCUUUUUCUGAGUCUCAUUUUCAUUCAUAAUGUGAUCUAUAUGACAUUACAGGUUUUACUGGUAUAGAUGAUCCUUAUGAACCACCUUUGAAUUGUGAGGUAUGUACUACUGUGUCAUUGUUCUAAAACGGCAUAACAAGCAUCUUAAAGGGAAGUAACAUGAUAUUUUAUGUACCUUGUGCUAUGAUACUGUUUAUCUUGAAGCGGGUAUGAUUUUCCUCUCCAAUGCACAGAUAGAAAUACAAGAGAAGGAUGGAGUCUGCCCCACACCAUCUGCCAUGGCUGGACAAGUAGUGUCCUACUUGGAGGACAAAGGAUUUCUGCAGGAUCAGUGAUCAACUCCACUAACUUGGAGCGAUCAUAGUCAUAAUCUCAUUGGACAAACAAUUUUAUCUGGGAUUCAUGGCCUAUCCACUUUAACAGUUCCUGGCUAAGGGUGUCAGCAGGUUCCAACCAUACAUCAUGUGGGAUGCUUUUGUAAUGAAAUGAUAUGUUUCAGAUUCAAAUGGUACAUAUUUUAUACACCAAGUGGGCACCAUUGAUGUUGUUUAAUCAUGGAGACUUAUUAUAGAAUAUACAUUCAUUUCCAACAACCAUUGUUUUCAAUUACAACCAAAAUUUUCA
rnacentral:misc_RNA from 1 species